rnacentral:rRNA from 1 species
CCUACGGGAGGCUGCAGUGGGGAAUAUUGCACAAUGGGGGGAACCCUGAUGCAGCGACGCCGCGUGAGCGAGGAAGUAUUUCGGUAUGUAAAGCUCUAUCAGCAGGGACGAAAAAAGACGGUACCUGACUAAGACGCACCGGCGACCUACGUGCGAGCAGCCGAGGCACUACGUAGGGGGCAAGCGUUAUCCGGAUUUACUGGGUGUAAAGGGAGCGUAGACGGCAAGGCAAGCCAGCGUUGAAAUGGCUGGGCUCAACCCUGUACAUGCUUUUGAAACUGUGGUGCUAGAGUGCAGGAGAGGUAAGUGGAAUUCCUAGUGUAGCGGUGAAAUGCGUAGAUAUUAGGAGGAACACCAGUGGCGAAGGCGGCUUACUGGACUGUAACUGACGUUGAGGCUCGAACGCGUGGGGAGCAAACAGGAUUAGAUACCCUAGUAGUC